rnacentral:rRNA from 1 species
GACGAACGCUGGCGGCGUGCUUAACACAUGCAAGUCGAACGGAAAGGCCCUGCUUUUGUGGUGUGCUCGAGUGGCGAACGGGUGAGUAACACGUGAGUAACCUUCCCUUGACUUUGGGAUAACUUCAGGAAACUGGGGCUAAUACCGGAUAGGAGCUCCUGCUGCAUGGUGGGGGUUUGAAAGUUUCGGCGGUUGGGGAUGGACUCGCGGCUUAUCAGCUUGUUGGUGGGGUAGUGGCUUACCAAGGCUUUGCCGGGUAGCCGGCCUGAGAGGGUGACCGGCCACAUGGGGACUGAGAUACGGCCCAGACUCCUACGGGAGGCAGCAGUGGGGAAUAUUGCACAAUGGGCGGAAGCCUGAUGCAGCAACGCCGCGUGCGGGAUGAAGGCCUUCGGGUUGUAAACCGCUUUCGCCUGUGGCGAAGCGUGAGUGACGGUAAUGGGUAAAGAAGCACCGGCUAACUACGUG